rnacentral:rRNA from 1 species
CCUAAUACAUGCAAGUCGAACGAGAACCCUUGGAUUCGUCUGGGGGGGAGAGUGGCGAACUGGUGAGUAACACGUGGGUGACCUGCCCCGAAGACGGGGAUAACCGUUGGAAACGACGGCUAAUACCCGAUAUACUCGGUGAUUCGGUUCAUCGAGUAAAGGCUCCGGUGCUUCGGGAUGGGCCUGCGGCCUAUCAGCUAGUUGGUGGGGUAAUGGCCCACCAAGGCGAAGACGGGUAGGGGGCGUGAGAGCGCGGCCCCCCACACUGGCACUGAGAUACGGGCCAGACUUCUACGGAAGGCAGCAGUCGGGGAUAUUGCACAAUCGGCGAAAGCCGGAUGCAGCGACGCCGCGUGGGCGAUGAAGGCCUUCGGGUUGUAAAGCCCUUUUAUGGGGGAAGAGACAAGGACGGUACCCCAAGAAUAAGCGUCGGCUAACUACGUGCCAGCAGCCGCGGUAAAACGUAGGACGCAAGCGUUAUCCGGAUUUACUGGGCGUAAAGAGCGUUGAGGCGGUUCCGUAAGUUGGGCGUGAAAGCCCCGGGCUUAACCCGGGGAGGUCGUUCAAUACUGCGGGACUUGAGGGCAGCAGAGGGAGGCGGAAUUCCCGGUGUAGCGGUGAAAUGCGUAGAUAUCGGGAGGAACACCAGUGGCGAAGGCGGCCUCCUGGGCUGUUUCUGACGCUGAAGGCGAAAGCUAGGGGAGCGAACGGGAUUAGAAACCCCGGUAGUCCUAGCCGUAAACGAUGGAUGCUGGGUGUGGGGGGUAUAGAUCCCCUCCGUGCCGAAGCUAACGCGUUAAGCAUCCCGCCUGGGGAUUACGGCCGCAAGGCUUAAACUCAAACGAAUUGACGGGGGCCCGCACAAGCAGCGGAGCGUGUGGUUUAAUUCGAUGCUACACGAAGAACCUUACCUGGGCUUGACAUGUAGGUAGUAGUGAAGCGAAAGCGGAACGACCCUUCGGGGAGCCUACACAGGUGCUGCAUGGCUGUCGUCAGUUCGUGCCGUGAGGUGUCGGGUUAAGUCCCGUAACGAACGCAACCCUUGCCCUUAGUUACAUGUGUCUAAGGGGACUGCCCGGGACAACUGGGAGGAAGGUGGGGAUGACGUC